rnacentral:tRNA from 1 species
GGGGCCGUAGCUCAGUUGGUUAGAGUGUCUGCCUGUCACGCAGAAGGUCGCGAGUUCGAGUCUCGUCGGCCCCG